rnacentral:rRNA from 1 species
UACGUAGGGUACAAGCAUUAAUCGGAAUUAUUGGGCGUAAAGGGCGCGUAGGCGGGGAUGUAAGUCAGGUGUGAAAUGCCAAAGCUCAACUUUGGUGCUGCAUUUGAAACUGCAUUUCUUGAGGACUGACGGAGAAAGCGGAAUUCCAUGAGUAGCGGUGAAAUGCGUAGAUACAUGGAGGAACACCGGUGGCGAAAGCGGCUUUCUAGUUUUUACCUGACGCUGAGGCGCGAGAGCAAGGGGAGCAAACAGG